rnacentral:rRNA from 1 species
UACAGAGGUCCCAAGCGUUGUUUGGAUUCACUGGGCGUAAAGGGUGCGUAGGUGGUCGGGUAAGUCUGAUGUGAAAUCUCCGAGCCUAACUCGGAAACUGCAUCGGAUACUAUUCGGCUUGAGGGUUGGAGGGGGGACUGGAAUACUUGGUGUAGCAGUGAAAUGCGUAGAUAUCAAGUGGAACACCAGUGGCGAAGGCGAGUCCCUGGACAACUCCUGACACUGAGGCACGAAAGCUAGGGGAGCAAACAGG